UCUUCAAUGCAGAUUUUUCAGUUUGAGUUUGUGUAGACUAUAGUGCUCUCCAGUUUUGUGUUCAAAUCUAAAAAACAUAUCAUCUGGCUAUAUAUUUUUGAUUGUUAUAAUUGCCAAACCAUCAACAUCUCCACUAUCUUCAUAUUCCACAGCCAUGUUUAAAAAAAAAAACAAAGUAAGAAUAGGCUUGCAAUCGAAACUAGAUCAUUAAAGAAUACAUAGGUAAUUGCAAUUCAUUUGGAUUAUGUCUAGAACCUUUUUUUUUUAAAUGGUACCUUCUAAAAAGAAUACUUAGGAAUGGGUUUGGCCAUUCAGGUCCCUAUACUAGGUUCUAAAUGGUCAGAAUUUAGUAAACAUAAAUCUAACCCAAAAAAUAGAACGAAUUCAAUUUUAGAACCUGACCCAACUCCAUGAUAGGUCUAGACAAGUCGGAUCGGGUCAGGUCGGAUCCGAUCAUGGGUCAACCCAUCCCAUUUGCCCCUAGUUGCAGUGGUUGUCUUCGCAGCCAUCCAAGUUGCUUUGUUAUGAACCUAUUUGGAUGGAAAAUAAGAGUCGACGACGGUUUAAGGUUUCAUCAACCCCAAGAAUCUCAUGAUUUAGGAUUUAGGUUUUGUGACCUCCAAGAGCCUACAUAUCUUGGGAUUAGGGAUUAAGGUUUACCCAUCAAGAAUCUAAGAUUCUCUAUUAAUUCCUGUGACCUUUGGACGGAAAUAAGAAAAAGCAUCAUCAUUAUCAUCACCUCUAAAAUAUUUAAAAGUUGAGAAAUUGAAGAAAUAAAGAUAAAAAAAAAGGUAAGAAGACAAAAGAACUGCCAUUUGAGUAGUUGAGCUAGUGGUGGACUAGGGGCUAUCAAUUAAGAUGAAAAAUCCGAUAGUAAAAAAGGAGCCACCACCUAGGGUUCUGUGAGAUGGAGCCAAUGGUGGUGCAGGGGACAGUAGAGGCGGGAGAGAUGGUGUUAGAAAAUUCAUCUCAAGAUUCGGUCUACACUAAGCCCACAGCAAGGUCUAGAACGGCGAAUGGAGUCUAACGAGUCCAAGAACAGCUCAAACAGAGUCCAGACGGUGAAGAUACGCAUGAAAGAAUGCUCGAAGCAGGUGGCAUGGCCCAUGAGGUGACAGAGGCCGAUGGUGGUGCAGUCGAGCCCGAUUCGCAUGUGGGCCCGACGGGCACGUGCUCGGGCCGGCCCAGCAGGCAUGUGGGUGCCCAAGCCUAGUGUCCUAUCGCAGUCCAUCGUGGACUGUAGGGUGCUAGGUGGUCCAUGGAGGCCAUAUGAACCAAUCACGCGGUCCACGUGCGGUCCAGGAGCAUUUGUGCGUGAUCCGACGGUCCAGAUAAUGUGCGGUCA
rnacentral:lncRNA from 1 species